GAAUGGGGAGGACCCUUUGCUCUCGCUGAGCACUGUGUGGCCCCCUAGUCUCUCCCGGCUCUCUCGGGUCCGAAGGGUCUGGGUCCCAGAACAGCCAUCUCAGCGUGGGUUGGUGACGUGGAGGAGACCGCUCCGGUUUCCACGGUGAUGGGCCAGGCUAGGCGCGCGUGAUUGCUGCUGCCCUUCCCGUUUCUUUUUGAGAGACUGAAGCAGUGGGUUGACGUUUGAGGGGAAUUUGGUGACGCUGCAGAGGGAGGGAAGACUCCCCUUUCCAACCUCCUGAGAAAAACCAGCCACGGUACCAGAAAUGCACUACGCAUGCGCAUUCGGGUGGCCGGAAGCGCCGCUGCCCCGAGUCCUCCAGUGAAUGGAGAGCCCGGUGAACCGGCAGUAUACCUGGACCGAAAGCCCCCUUUGCCUUCUCACCACUUGGAGCUGACAGGCGGCAGCCCCACCUCACCCUCACUUCAGCAUCCAGAGCCACGGACUGGGUCUGGGACAGACCGCACCCAAUGAAGGCGGGAGAUGGAGAAGCGGGUCCUGGAGACCCCCCCAGACUUUCUGGGGUUCAGUCCAUCUCAACUGAGGAUACACCCUGGGGAGCCUGAGGUCCCAGAAGAAGAGGCGCCCGGAGGAGACGAGGCGAAGGCUCCGGCCCUGGUGCAGCUCAUCGACGAGCACGGGACGUACUCGACUGCGCGCCUGGUUCCCGACGGUUCGGCGGAGGAGCGCUCCGGUAAGCAGGAGCCAGGCUCGCUUCGCAGCGGCUCCGAGGGCCGGGAGGGGCUGGCGCGGCCCAGGCAGUUCAGCUGCGCGGCCUGCGGGAGGGCCUUCAAGCGCGCGUGGGAGCUGCUGAGCCACGAGGUGGUGCACACGGCGGCGCGGCCCUUUCGCUGCGGCCUGUGUGCGGCCGCCUUCAAACGCCGCUCGGACUGCAAGAGCCACCGGCUGGCGCACAGCGACGAGCGGCCGCACGGUUGCGAUGCCUGCGGCAAGCGCUUCAAGCGAGCCACCAACCUGCAGGAGCACCGCCGCCUCCACAGGGGCGAGCGCCCCUUCCCCUGCGCGUCCUGUUCGAAGCGCUCCGAGACCCCCUACGAGCCGCACGCCCCUUCGCGGCCCUUCCCCUGCCGGGACUGCGGCAAGGCCUUCGCGGCUGAGCCGGCCCUGCUUCUGCACCGGCGGCAGCACUGCGAGGACAAGCCGCACGCCUACAGGGUGUGCAGCAAGCGCUUCACCCACCGCCACAGCCUGCGGGUGCACGAGCGCGUGCAUACGGGCGAUCGGCCCUUCGUCUGCCCGCUGUGCGCCAAGGCCUUCAAGCAGUCCGACCCGCUGGCCUCUCACCUCCGCGUGCAUUCGGGCUAGCGGCCCUACCCGUGCGCCACGUGCGGCAAGGCUUUCAAGCAAUCGUCCUACCUGGCCAUCCACCGGCGCACGCACACGGGCGAGCGGCCCUACCCCUGCGACGGUUGCAGCAAAGCCUUCUCCAGGCCCUCGCUGCUCCUGCAGCAUCGCCGCGCGCACAGCCCCGUGCGCCCUCACGUCUGCCGCUUCUGCCCUAAGCACUUCAAGGACCUGAACUACCGCGCCGUCCACGAGAAGGCAUAGCACAGCAAAACCAUCGGUGCUGAGAUCUUCUAGUUGGUGGUGUAUGGCAUUUUAGGAACAAUCGUUUUGCCAGACAUUGGUGUGACCUGCACUUCAGUUCUAUCCCCUCGCAUCUGCAGCCCUGCAACCCUCUAGUACUGGAAUGAGCGCUUGCCAUCCGCAGCUUGGACACGUCUAGGAACCUGUGCUGGAGAAAUGGACUCGGUGACCUUCGAAGAUGUGGCAGUGAACUUCACCAAGGAGGAGUGGGCCCUGCUGGACCCUGCACAGAGGAAACUCUACAGAGAUGUGAUCCUGGAGAACUGCAGGAACCUGGCCUAUGUGGAUUGGGCAACUCGACAUCAAACCAAAGACUUAAUCCCUCAGCAGGACAUUCUUGCUAAAAAGCCAUUUCAGGAAGCGAACAGAGUGUGUCUGGUGAGCAGCAGGUCCCGCCUCUCCGCUUUAGGAAAAGACUGGAAGUCCCAUCAAAUGAAGGAGCUGUGCAAGCAGAGGGGGCAAAAACUGAAGCAAGUUGCAGCCGCCCACGAGAAAGAUGCGUCUCCAGUUGCAAUCUGUGAAUAUCGUGAAACAAGGGACAGCUCUAAACCUGGCCCGAAGCUUGUGCCUUCACAGAGAGAUUCCAUGAGAAAACAUAUCCCAAGAUGUGACUCAGAGAUUCUGAAACAAAUUCUCCUCUUAACCAGUAAUCCAAAAAUCUGCAGAGACAACAAAGAUGACAGAGUCUUGGGGCAGAAAAUGCCAUUGAUGCCGUGCAUGAGAACUCAGACAGAGCCGAAAUCAAACACGUGGAUUGACAAUCAGAACGACAUGCUUCAUUUACGUGAUGAAAUGUACAUGGGGGUGAGCAUCCGUGAAUGCAAUCCAUGUAGAAAAGCCUUAGGGGAAGACAUCUCCCUUAGGACACACGGGACUCAUGUUAAAGAGAAAACUCAUGACUCUCACCAGUGGGAAAACACCUUCUUAAAUAGCUCUAUCCCUGCUGGGCAGAUGCAGCCCUACACAUCAGAGACAAAUAAUGAGAAUAAUCAAAGUGGGAGAACAUUUGUCCAUGUUCCAAAUUCUGAUUCUCACAGGAGAACUUCGAUGGGAGGGAAAAGCUAUAAAUGUGGCAACUGUGGGAAAGCCUUUGUGUAUCACUCAUCGCUUAGGAAACACAUGGAAAUUCACACUGGAGAGAAGCCCUACGAAUGUAAGAAUUGUGGGAAAGCCUUUAGGUAUUUCUUACAUCUUAAUAAACAUUUAAGAAAUCACAUUGUGAAGACCUUUGUAUGUCAGGAAUGUGGGAAAACCUUCAAUAAAUCCUGAAAGCUUAAUGAACAUAUCAGGAUUCACACUGGAGAGAAACCCUAUAAAUGUAAAGAAUGUGGAAAAGGCCACACUAAUUCUUCAAGACUUAAAAACCAUCUAAAGACUCACAGUGGAGAGAUGCCCUGUGGAUGAAAGAAAUGGAGAGAAACCUUCACUAAUUUUCUCAAAAUACUGAAUGCGUAAGGAGGACAUAUUGGAAGGGAGCUCAGUGAAUGAAUGAACGUGGGAAAGUCUUCUCUGAACUCUCAGAUCUUACGGAAAUGUGAGAAUUCACGUUUUGGGGUUUUUUUUUUUU